GAUGAACGCUAGCGGCAGGCUUAAUACAUGCAAGUCGAGGGGGCAGCAAUGUCACCGGCGGACGGGUGCGUAACGCGUAUGAAACCUACCUCAAUCAGGGGGAUAGCCCGAAGAAAUUCGGAUUAACACCGCAUAAAAACACAGUACAGCAUUGUACAAUGUUCAAAUAUUUAUAGGAUUGAGAUGGGCAUGCGUGUCAU
rnacentral:rRNA from 1 species